rnacentral:misc_RNA from 1 species
UUAAGUUCAGCGGGUAUCCCUACCUGAUCCGAGGUCAAGAGUGUAAAAAAUGUACUUUAUGGACGUCGUCGUUAUGAGUGCAAAGCGCGAGAUGUACUGCGCUCCGAAAUCAAUACGCCGGCUGCCAAUUGUUUUGAGGCGAGUCUGCGCGCAGAGGCGAGACAAACACCCAACACCAAGCAGAGCUUGAGGGUUGAAAU